CCUACGGGCGGCAGCAGUGAGGAAUAUUGGUCAAUGGACUCAAGUCUGAACCAGCCAUGCCGCGUGCAGGAAGACGGCUCUAUGAGUUGUAAACUGCUUUUGUACGAGGGUAACCGCAGCUACGUGUAUCUGUCUGAAAGUAUCGUACGAAUAAGGAUCGGCUAACUCCGUGCCAGCCGCCGCGGUUAUACGGAGGAAUCAAGCGUUAUCCGGAUUUAUUGGGUUUAAAGGGUGCGUAGGCGGUAGGAUAAGGUAAAGGUUAAAUCCCGGGGCUCAACUCUGGAAUUGCCGCUGAUACUGGUCGGCUAGAGUGUGGGUGCGGUAUGCGGAAUGCGUGGUGUAGCGGUGAAAUGCUUAGAGAUCAUGCAGAACACCGAUUGCGAAGGCAGCAUACC
rnacentral:rRNA from 1 species